rnacentral:rRNA from 1 species
UACGUAGGGUGCGAGCGUUACUCGGAAUUACUGGGCGUAAAGCGUGCGCAGGCGGUUUUGUAAGCCAGAUGUGAAAGCCCCGGGCUUAACCUGGGAAUGGCAUUUGGGACUGCAAGGCUUGAGUGCGGCAGAGGAGACUGGAAUUCCUGGUGUAGCAGUGAAAUGCGUAGAUAUCAGGAGGAACACCAAUGGCGAAGGCAGCUCGCUGGGACGGUACUGACGCUGAGACGCGAAAGCGUGGGGAGCAAACAGG